ensembl:lncRNA
AAAAAAAACCUCAAUGAAGAGAGAGAAAUUCUGUGCAGGACUGGGGUCAAUUUACGACAAAUACUUUAUAGCCAGGCUUGAAUCCUAUGCAGGCAGAGGAAAUUUUUAAGGAGUUGCUUAUAGUUUCACUCCCAUGAUAAUGGGUACAUACUGCACACUUUUCUCAGAUAGGCUUGAUAAAAUGAUGGAAAUAUCUGAGAAAUAUUUGAGAUGACUUCUAAUAUAGAUUGGAAAGGGAUAGAGAACAGUAGAACCACAGAGCUUCAGAGAUAGAAGAAAAAAAAUUAGCUUAUUUUGUUUUCUCUGCUGUGGCAUUUGCUUGCUAACUUCAAGCAACUUAAUCAGCUCUGAAGUAGCUCCAAAAUAGUCUCAUAGCAAAACUAAAAUAGAAAUAAGUUUAAAUUAGAAUUAUGUCUCACAAGGCAAUAUGUACUUGAAUAAUCUAGAAAUAAAGUAAACAAGAACUUGUAGAUAGCUCUGUUGUCAUAUUGCUUUUUAGAUCCUUCUGGCAGCAAGGCAGAAGAAAUGUGCUUACUUCAUACUAUGCAGAAGACCCUGGAAACUCAGAUUCACCACCUGGCAUAAUGACUCCAGAGAGACCAAACGUAACAGUCACCAGUUGGGCUGCUUUCUUUUCCAUUCCAGUUUCACACAACAAAGGGAUCUGCUGAUUUUAUUUGUUAUUUAUUUAGACUCUAAGAAAGCCCGGUUUGGAAAAUAUUAUCCUGUCCAGUAUGCGUUUCUGCUAAUGGCAGCUCAGAGUAAAUGUGCUGUUUUCCCUCCCUGAGACUGUGAAGUAAGGUCGCCCACAGUGUAAACACACUGAAAUACGCAGCAAUAAUCAGAAUCAUAAGAUCGCAGAAUGGCUUAGGUUGGAUGGGCCUUAAAGAUCAUCUAGUUCCAACCCCCUGCCAUUGGCAGGGCUGCCACCCACCAGCUCAACUGCCCAGGGCCCCAUCCCCACUGGCUUUGAGCACCUCCAGAGAUGGGCACCCACAGCUCUCUGGGCAGCCUGUGCCAGCGCCUCACCACCCUUUAAACAAAAACUUUCUUCCAAACAUCUAACCUAAAUCUCCCCUCUUUUAGUCUAAAGCCAUCUCCCCUUGUCCUGUUGCUAUCAGACCUUGUAAAAAGUCAAUCUCCCUCCUGCUUGCCAGUUCCCUUCAAUUAGUGGAAGAUUGCACAAGAGUUUAGCCUUCUCUAGUUAAAGCUAGUGAGGAUUUUGUUGCUGGGAGCUGGCUAUAAUGGAAUACAAAUCAGGAACUAAAACAUUUUUUUUUGACUUUGAGCCAAAUCUAAAAGAUACUAUAGCUCUGCACCAGACCAAAGCUGCAAGCUCAAAAAGCUUCACUUCCUUGCACCUACUUUUGUGUUUGCCUGACAUGCUGAGACACUUUUCCAGGUGGAUGAAGCUCUCAGCACCUAUAAAGAGCUACAGUAUGGCCACGUCUGUCUAACUGAGCCAGAAUGUGACAAGUCCUUGUGCAGUUUCUCCAGCCUGUAGAUGUUACUGGAGUGAAUGGAAAGUCUCUGGGUAAGUUUCCUUGUUAAAAUGCAGUUAUAGUUCCCUUUGCCUUUAGGACUUUGGAAAAGAAAGGGCUUGUGAUGGUUGUUUUCCAUGUAAUGGUGGUACUGCUGAGGCUUCUUUCCAGCAAGUGGAUGACCCAGGUUUAUACUCGUCUGAGCAGGAAAGCCCCUUUUCCAAAUAUUUCAGGCGAAUAUCCUAAUCAGUAAGAUGGGAAAUCAAAGAAGGAAGCAGAUUAUGAUGUUUUAAAGGGGAACACCUGCAUCUAAUGCCUUCUCCAGGGACUGCACCAUAAGCAAGAUCGUGUUUGAAUAGCACAAAUGCUAUUCCUCUGCCGCUGUUUGAAAACAGGAUAUGAGAACGAGACUCAGUUACUCAACAAGACCUAUGGGUAUCUGGUUUUGGGAAACUUCUCUGGGCUGGGUCUCCAAAAGUUCUGCAGCCUGUUGACCAGCAAGAAGCAUCCCUGCACUAUGGGGUGGCCACAUUUAAGACUUCCCCAGUGUAACACAGGGCACAAGCCUCAGCAGUGUUUCCUAAUUUAUAGCUCAAGGCAGCUCCCUGCUCUGGCACUCAUGGGGUCUCUACUGGGUUCCAGAGGGCAAUGAGCAAACUGAGGGCCUAGGUAUGUAAUCUGGGGUUCUCAGUUGUCCAGUGCUGCUGGACAGGUAAAAAACAGGUGUCACAGUGACCAACAGUGUGGAUAGACAGCAGGGUGAAAGGGUGUGUGGAGCUCCCUUCUUUAAUAGCGCUGCAGUGACACAUAUGUUAUUAGCAUGUGACUGGAUAAAAAGUUUGAAAACAAUGGGCUGCUGAUUGUUCUCCUCACUCUUUAGGUCUUUUAGUUCAUAGCACUCAAAGAGUGUACUGUCUACCUUAAAAUAGAAUAGAUAUAGGUAUUAAGAACAAACAAAAGAAACCAAAGGAAGAAAAACCUCAUCAACCAACCUAUCGCUCAUUAGCUGAGAAAAGCAGCUUUAUGUUACUGUCCAUUUAAGACCUUACUAACGCAGAUUUCUGUACAUAUACAGAAUUACUUGUAAUGAGUAAUGGGCAGUAUAUUUAUGGAAUCAAUAUUAAAUUGGCCCUUAAGUAGUUUAAAUUCCUUUGAAGCAGAUUCACAAGGAACACUAGGGCACUCUGACAUCCAGUUGGUACCAAGCUGGGGUCAACGUUACCGAGAGUGUAACUAAUUUUAACACAUAGAUAGACCUGAUUGUAAGAUGGAAACUCAUCUGACCUAUUUUGGAUUUCUAGUUUUGGGUAAGAUGUGCUAUACACUGAAGUGCCUCUUUUUCACAACUCAUUUUUCCAUGGCUUACUCACUGGGGACUUCAGGUUUUCAGCAUCUGUGGUUAGUUUGCAUAAAUCCUACCUCAGAGUCCAAAUAGGAGCUGGGAAUAUCAUCACUAAGUAUUAUGCUCAUGUUGCAGUGCGGAGUCUGAUUUGUUGGAGCUGGUAAUAGGUAACUGUGCCAGGGUGUGUUCCUGUGUUCAUUUCAGGAUAAGCAGUUUUCUGCCUUCUUUGAAACAAUGUGAUCACUACAGAAGUCAGCCCUACAAAAUCCAGGGCCAAACUUUCUGAAAGGGCUUCAAUACCCACCUCCUCUGGAAACGAUGAGAAAUAGGUGCUUAAUUUCUUCUUGAGGCGGGGACUGUUUCAUGCCCAUGCAGGGCUGCAUUUAAUGUCAGGGGGCUUCGAUCUCGUUUAUGCAAGUAGUGCUCUUUCAUAAAAUCCUGGUAUCUGAUUGACAUAUAUUUGAGCUUUGCCUGUCACUUCAAAUCCAUUCUCAACUUUUGUCUUGCUAUUCAAUGUCACUUUUAGGUUGAAGUGCAUUUUUCCGGCAGCUACACAGCAGUUUCUAUGGGUUAAUCAUAGGAUGGCUUGGGUUGGAAGGGAUCUCAAGGAUCAUCAAGUUCCAAACCAAGUUAACACAUAUUUUAUAUGAAAUAGUGCAGUAAGCAAAUUCAUAAUGUGUCUAUUGAAAGAAACUGUGGUAUAAGUUGAUUAACCAUUGUAUCCACAUCCUUAAGGGAAUUUCAAUAAAAGUCACCUGAUUCUAAAGGACCCCUAACUAUGUAAAUGAGAAUAGGAUCACCUUUAAGCAUCGUGAACACUGGCUGAAAUUUAAUGGUCCUGACUUAUACAGUUGUGUAAAGAAAAGGAUUUUAAUUUUUAUUAUUGCUGUUAUAAUUCAUGAAAGUGUUAGAGCUCUCACAUCAGAGUAAAAAUGUCACUAAAACAUCAUUAGUUUGGGCAGAAAUAUAAUUAGUAUAAUGGGCAUAUACACUCGGAACAGCUGCUUUUUUGACAACAUUAAAUCCAUAGUCACUUUUAUGCAGAUAACCAAAAUAGUAAUAAUAAUAGUAUUACUUUUCUAUCAUGAAAUCCCUUUCACCAACACAGCAGAGUGUGCAGAAUUGUACAUUCUAAGACCUGUUUUUUAAGAGGUAAGAAAUUCUGAAUUGAAACACUUCCGGAAAAAAAAAAAAAAAUCACUACUUACAGGAAAACAAAGCAAAACAAAGAGACAAACCCAUGACGGUCCUACAUUCUGCUACGAUUCAGCUCCUUCAUCACUGGCAAGAUAUUUGCUCCAGCAUAGUUUUCUCAGAUAGAACAGGCUCUCUGUAACAUGCCCAGGCAUAACUGACCUGGGGGAGGACAUUCUUACCCCAAUCCCUAAAGUCUUCCGAGGCCUGACAUAUCUUUGACCUACUUUAGAGUGAGCAGGAUAUCUAAUGCAGUUUAGAUUCAACAGAUGUUCAAGAGAUAAAAAUAGAGGAAGUGAGACGCAAUUCUUCACCAGAAAAAAUGCAAUGCCUAACAUACAAACACAUUCCAAUACAUUCUCAAUCUUCAAAAAAUUCUUGGUAUUUUGAUGUUGAAUGUCCUUGCUGUACCAGGCAUGUUACUCUUCUGUCCAAUAGGAGUUUCAGAGAGGUCAUAAAAACAUCCUGGAGUCUUGUCUUUGCCCCUGUAUGCAAUAACAUGACUGCAUGCCAAUGUAUAUGUUAAAAAUACAGAGGAAGAAACAAAGAGACCGAGUCAGUGCUUCAAAACAACAUCUACAGCCAUGAUUAGAGCAGUCCUCAGAGUUCAGCUCUCCAGUCUGCUCCAUCUGGAGAACGUGAAAUCCCUUGUCACAUCGCACAUUGUUUCAGGAAGUGAUGGCAAAAGUCUGAAGUGGGCUCUGGCCAAGGCCAUGGCCAUUCAGCAAGGCCAGCAGGCCUGGCUCCCUGCCUGUGGACAGAUGCACAGCUGACAUCUGUGUCCUAUUUGGCCCUCACUGCUGGAGUAACCCCACCGAUAGGCUCUCAGUCUCAGGCAGGGAAAGGUUCUAAUCAAAACAUUCUAUCCACAGUAAAGAUAAAAUGGAGUGGUUUUGUGCAGCUGUGUGUGCAUGAGUGCAUUCGACUGCUGAAACUCUUAGAAAGAUUAGAUACAGAAUAAGUAAUUUUUCCCCUUUUUAAAAUUUCACACUUAAUUUAAAGCUAUGAAUUUCCAUUUAAAACACUUUGUUCACCAUGUGAACCAUAAACAGUUUAUUCAAUAAUGCAUCCUCUGAAACCAAAACACUGUUUCUGUGAGUAGUGGACUGGCAUGGUGAAUGCAUGAUCCGUGUAUAUACAGAGUGGUUAAACAAAUAAGCACUUGUGGUUAUCUAAAUAUUAUGAAGAGUUAUCUUCUGCAAAAGGCAUUUCUAUUUUUCUUCUUUUGUGUAAUGACUUAAUACCAAAAUAUUAUUAAAUACAUUAAAAAACAAAACAAAACAAAACACCCACAGGUACAUAUUCUGCAAGUCAAGAAUAUAUUAAAUGCAUUAUGCUCUGUUUACCAGAAGUAAUGAUCUUAUGCUGACACAGUUCAUCCUAAAAAUAUGCUUUCUAAAAUAUUGUCUCACAAAUGAAAAAAUGGGGACACACAUGAAAAUUAUAGCUGAAUAAUUGCAUUUAUGGCCUAAAGUUACAACAGCCAGAAAAGUUGCAGAUAAGACAGGGCAUGCUUUUUACUGCAGAAUUUCCUGACUCUUUGGUUUCUAUCUCAUCCUUAAUGCUAUCUCAGUGCUAUUUUAGCCUGUGAAUUGAAUUUUCUUUUAAUUUGAGCAGAUCAUAUAUUCAUUUGUAGAUGCUCUAUCUUCAUCAAUCAAUACAUUACGCCAGGCAGCUUCAUCUCCUCCUGAAAGAUAACCUUGGAUUAUGUCAUGGCUCAAUUCCGCAUUGCCCCUGCAGAGAUAAUGAAUUCGCACAUGUAAGAGGAUCAUUUACCAAUGGGGGUGGGAUGCUGUUUUGAGCAUAUCAUUUCCAUCUGCCACAGAAUGAUUCCAUUUGCACAAAUCAAUCUCCUGGAGGAGGAUUUCUUAGCUACAGUAAGCACACUGUAGGCACUGUGUAGCAGAGUGUGUCGUCUGACAGGAGAGAAAGCAGGGAUCACAUUGCUGUUGCCCCUGAAAGUCAUAGCUUUGCUUCCCCUCACACCAAGCUCGAGAACAAUUCAAGGAUGGGGCAAACAAGGCCUUCCUUCUCCUUUUGAGGGGCUGUGGCUCUUCAGAGGUGAGAGGAGGAAUGCUUUCUUGUUCGGGUGGUCUGGUACAAGCACAGACAUAGCUGAACCACUUCCAAAAAGGCUCAGUCCUAACUGUGACAAACUCUGUCAGAUGCAAAAACAGGUACUGCUGUGAGAUGGCCUCUUUCGUACAGACUUAAGAUUCCAUUUAAUGGCUCCCAGAGGAGAAUUGAGCCAGUAUUUAAUUAAUGUGACUAAAAUUAUGCAUUUCAUCAACUGUACACCAUAUAAAUCGCACAUAUCACAUUGAAAAAUGAUGCUCUUCAAGCAACUUUGCUUUUAUGGAGUAAAGUUUGCAAGAGCUAGUGCAAAUGAAUGCCUAAGAAAGGCGUGGGCUCCCGGUGUGAACAAGGAACAGUCACAUACCAGUUCAGUGACUGCAAGUCAGGCAUCAAUAGCCAAUGUAAAGUAGAUCAUAUUACAUAUUACACCAGUUAUCAUAUGCCAGCAAGGACAAAUUAUGCACAAGGAGAAAGGAAUGAUAGCAAUAGCUGAGUGUCUUAUGGGCUAUGAGUAUUUGCAUCCCCUGCAAAAUUUUGGAAGAAUUGCAUCUGCACUUUUCCGGUGUUGUCCUCCAUCUUAGGCACGAGACAGUGGUGAGUUUGCAAGAGCAGGACAGGACCUACUUGAGUAGUGUGGGUGCUGCUUAGUGGAGCCACCUUUCUUCCCAAGUGGCUGUGCGUGCGUAUAGCUCAAAAAUCAUGGGUAAAGUACGGUUUCAAGGAACUCACUGGAUCCCGCCAUUUCAGUUCUAAUUGUUGCAAAGAAAACAAAGGCUCCCUCAGUUCAUUUGCAACCAUAAAUUUCAUUUUCUAUAUAGACCUCUGAAGACCUGUAGCGUGUUUCUAGGUGUAGCUGCUGUUGGACUGGAAGUUUCUGUGGCUUCUCCACUUACAUGGAUUAUCAUAGUAUAUGCAGGGUCAGAAGCAACCUUUGUCUUGGUGGUAUAUUGUGUGCAUUCAUGCAAUGUGUGGGGAGGACAGAAGAUCUCAAUUUAGUGCAAAUUACAAAUUACAGGCAAACAUUUCAUUUGGUAUCCUUUCACAUUCAUAUUCAGAAAAAAAUUGUAUUUUUUUUACACAAAGCCCACUUUUUCUGUUGUAUUUCAAUCUAUUGCAUGUCAUUGUUCAGUCCACAUUGUGUAAUGCUGUGAUCAUAUCAGCUGUCAUAAAGGAUAAUUUAGUAAUAACAAAAUGUGUCCUGAUGCAGCUUGACAAGAUGAAAUUUGCAAAAAAUAAAUAUGGUUCCUGGCCAAUAUGCAUUCACUGUAAUGACUUCAGGCAUCCCUCCCUUAAUGAAUUACAAACCAACAAUAGUCUUCUGAUUGGUUUUUGGCUGCAACAAACAGGGAAUGGUAUGACUAUUAAAUAUCUAUGGGACAUACUUCACACUGGCGUACAGACUUAUGGAGAGGUGACACAUAUACCAUGUAGUUCUUAACAGGUUAUCCUGAUUACUUCUUCUGGUUCUCACAGGUAGGCAAAAAGUAUGAAUUCACUGGAGCAGAUUUUUCUUUUGGAAAAACAUAAAUCAAUCUGAAUUCAUUGAAACUGUGUUUUUUUUUUAAGAGAAAGUGUUCAUAAAUCUUGGAGAUAACUUUUAUUUUUUUAAAAGAUCUAUAUUUUAUGACAGACAGUUUAAAUUUGCACCUGAGACCAUAAUAGUUCCUAUGAAAGGAGAAUGGAUAACAAAUGGAAUGGAAGGACUCCCAUUAAGCAUAAAAUUACUCAACAAGAACCACCGUGAAUCAAUUAAUCAUAAUGUAACAGGACUUUAAUUUUUGGGCAUUCUCAAAAUCCAAAAUGUUUACAUCAUUUUUCAUAGUAACAAAUAUGAUUAUCAUUGUUUACAGCUGAUGAAACACAUGAUUUUUAUCACAGUAAUUAAAUACUUGUUCAAUUGUUUUGAUUUUUUUUUAAAUUUAUUUUCUAGUAGUCUUCAAAUUGAAUUCUAAGGCUAUCUAUAAGGCUGUCUAAAGGAGACUGUGACAAUGAUGCCCUUCCACCCUUUAGAUCGUGUGCAAAAAGGAUCAGAAAAAUGAAUUUACAGGACAGCAUGAUCAUACAAGACAUAUGUGUAGUUUAGAGUAAGGCUUGGAUCCAGGUUUGUUGCAGAGAAAUAACAUAAUGCAUUUAGGACUACAGUAAGACUAUUAUAAAUAGAUAGUUUUAUUUCAUAGAAUCAUAGAAUGGUUUGGGUUGGAAGGGACCAAUAAGAUCAUCUAGUUCCAAGCUCCCUGAUGUAAGCAGGGACACCUCCCACUAACCAGGUGCUCAAAGCCCCAUCCAGCCUGGCCUCAAUGCCUACAGAAAGGAGGCAUCCACAACCUUGCUGGGCAACCUGUUCCAGUGUCUCACCACCCUCACAGUAAAUAAUUUCUUCCUAAUAUCCAGUAUAAAACUACCUUCUUCCAGUUUAAAGUCAUUUCCCCUCAUCCUGUUGCUACGUGCUUUUAUAAAAAGUCUUUCCCUAGCUUUCCUAUAGGCUCCCUUCAGGUACUGGAAGGCCACUAUAAGGUCCUCCUGGAGACUUCUCUUCUUCAGGCUGAAGAACCCCAACUCUCUCAGCCUCAUUUGAAUGAGAAUAUUAUUUUGUCACCAGUGCUUCAGAUUUGUCCCUCAGUUAUUUAUCUCAGUAUUAUUUAAACAUUCAAAAUUAUUGACACCUUCAUAUGCCAGCUAACAGGACUGCAUAUUAUUCAAGAACAGGUAGAUACAGAUAGGUAUAUUAGCUGUGUGACUGCAGAGGGCAGACUUGGCAUCACCAGUAUUUUUAUUUACAUGGAUUCACUCAGUAAGGAAUGCUAAUUAUUCAAAUAGCCUAAAAGAAGGUUCCUGAUUAUUGUCCCAUGGAAACAAAUGAUGCCAAAACCAAUUUUUGAAGAUAAUUUUCUUUGCAUUUUUUUGCAGAUUCCUAUUAAACUAAAAUUUUGAAAUGUAAAAUAGAAAUAAGAGCUUAAAGAAAGAAAACACUGAGGGCACUAACUUGUUUCAAAUUUUAUUUUAAAACCAAACAAAAAAAAAGAAAAAAGAAGAAAAAAUAAAAAGAAAAAGGAAAAGAAAAGAAGAAAAAAGAAAAAGAGAAAAGAAAAGAAAAGAAAAGAAAAGAAAAGAAAAGAAAAGAAAAGAAAAGAAAAGAAAAGAAAAGAAAAGAAAAGAAAAGAAAAGAAAAGAAAAGAAAAGAAAAGAAAAGAAAAGAAAAGAAAAGAAAAGAAAAGAAAAGAAGAGAAAAGAAAAGAAGACCAAUCAACCAACCAAACAAAACAGCCCUUUUUUUGAGCAGCCCAACUUACCACCCUUACCAUAGUGAAUCAGAUGCAGUGAACAAUAAAACCCACAAAUGCCUGACACACAUACUGCUGAGAAGGCUUAAGGAAAUACCAAAUGCAGAUCUUCACUCUCUGACAAGCAUGUGCUUCUAGCAUACUGUGUACUUCCAGCUCUGUAAGUUUGGAUAAUUCCAUUUGUGAGGUAGUUUUAAUGCAAACCAUAUCUAGAUACCCAAGUAGGUGGCUCUCUAUAUGCCAGACACGGUGAUAUGUUUCAUUAAACAAAGCUACCCUUCUUUGGAUAUACAAUAUUUUUUUUAGAGAAAUAUAUAAGAUCUCAGUACUAGUUGCAUUAUUUAGAGUUUGUAUACCUCAUGGAAUGUGACAUAAAUAUUAUUUCUUUAAAGCAACCAGAAAAGGCUAUUUGUCUCUUUUAGUAUGACUCAUACAAUAAUUCAAUUUACAUACUUAAAUCAAAUGAAUCGUCUGUCUCAUGCUAACUUCUUUCAACCUCUUUUAUUAUGAUAUAAGUUGUUUGUUUUGUUUCCAAAAUCUAAUACUCCAUCUCCCUUGUACUAUCAGUGUGUAUGAAUAAUGAAUAUUUGGUGCCUUUUAAUACCUCUUAGUUUAUCAUAACAGGCAAUGUCUUACAUCACAGCCAAUUUCAUUGAUUAUAUGCAAUUUACUGAAUAUGUAUGUCAUCUAGCCUGUAUUAGGCUGGGUUAUGACUGUAUAUAUAUGAACACUGCCAGCUGCUUUAGCACUUACAAGCUCCUGAUUAGCCAAAUUACAGUCUUGGACUUAACAAGACACAAAGAUAUGCUUUGUGCUCCUUAUGAUACUGCUCUUUGGAGAAAUAUUUUAGUACCUUUGGAACCGGCCAUAGCAUUGAAAACAUAAAAGCUAAUGGCCUUUAUGACUGAGAAACCAUGAAAGAAAUGCUGAUGUGCACAGUAAGUUAAAAUUAACACAGGUGCUUACAAUGCUUUUCCAUCAGCACAAAGUCCUUGAUUUAGAAGGCCUUAAGGUAGAUGGUUAAUUACUUGCUGAAUCAGGUUGAGAAUGCUUAUACAAAAGCCUUUGCUAAUUUGGAGGAAGAAAAGUUCAAGGCAAAUAUGUUUCAAGCUUUGGAAUGUGUAUGGAACUUGUGACAAAAUGAACAGAGUAAUUCCUGUAUCAGUGGGAGGCACUUUCCAUGCCUGUGGCCCUCAGGUUACCUGUGGGUUUUAAAAACAUGAUCCUCCAUCCUUAAUUCUUCCAAAGCAAGACUAUUGGUGGGAGGACAACAUCAGGAUCUUACCUGUGAGGCAGGCAGGUGUGGAUUUAUGAGGUGUAGAGAGAUUAGCUGCCAUUCAUCAUUACCAACCUGUGGCUCUUUCUAAACCUCAGGGUUUGGAGGGAAGGGGGAGCUAGGAGAUUGAAAAGCCUUUCCACAGAUAUUGCUGUAGUUUCCAAUACUUGCUUCCAGUACCAAGGCAGCCUCAGUUUUAUGGGUUGCUGGCUUCAAGUGGGCAUACUUUAUGGCCAGUCAAGUUCCAGAAUGUCCAGUUGCCUCUCUGAAGGGAUCAGCUUGGCCUUUCCUGGGGGAUCAAGGUAGGCAAUGGACCAUGGAGAGGCUUUUGUUCCAAUGGGAGCUGUCCUGGAGCCAGAAGCAAGGCAGAAGGAAAGAGGGAGAAGUUCUCAUCCUGGGCAACUUGGCUUUCUCAUGUGGCCAAGAGCCCUUUUUUUUUUUUUUUUUUUUUUUUUCCAUGGGUAAGCCCAGUGUGCUGAUGAACCAUGACAGAUUAUUCAAGAGCUUGUUUCCAAGGAAUAGUAAACAUAAAGGGCAGUGGGGUUCGUGAGUUAACAGUUGCAUACAUCAGAGUGUGGCACUCCUCUGUAGGUAUGUGACUUAGGAAAUCAGAGAAAGGUGCUGAAAAUCUUCCCGACAGAAAGCCCUGGUACACACAAAAAUUUCCAACUAUAUCCCAUCACCAGUGAUGAGGUCCCAAGUGCUGGCCCACAUCAUCGUGAUCGGGAUGGAAGAGCAAAAGAAGGCAGGGGAACCCGGGUCAGGUGCAGCUGUGGCCCUACUUAGGAAUUUUGUUGUAGAGCCAUCAGAGAAUUUCUUCCCUAGGAAACAUGGUGAGGUCAUGCAAGUGCUCAGAUCAGGCUCCAGUUGAGUCUUAUACUGAUUAGCAGAAGAUUUAAUUUCACUCUGAUUAAAAAAGAGCAGAUGAAGAGGUAUGCUGAAUAAUCCCUACAGGCAUGUAUCAGCUCCUAGGCAAACCUUUUUAUUCUGCUAUGGUGUAUGACAAAAGCUCUAAAUUUUAACUUGACAUUUUUUUUUUUCUGAAGGGCCCUUUUCCAUAAAUUUCCCAGGCUCUUGUUUUUGAGAUUGUUACUGUGCAGAAAGAAAACAUCCUUGCUGCUUGCUUAUUAGAAUAUAUUUAUUUAUCUGUACCAUACAACAAACCUUAUUUAUUUUCCUACAUUCAUAUAGUAAAUCCUGUAAAUAUGCUCUUAGUAAUCACCAACAUGAUUUUCAGGACUGUAAUUCAUAAAUGAAACUCAUGAAAAAUAUUUUUGUCAGUUUUAAAUAACUCUACACAUUUAAUACAUUGAGUCAUAUGCAAAUUUGAUUAAGGGAGAUAUUAUCUUCCUCUUGCUGGAAGUUUCACUCAUAAAUGAGAAGAUUAAUGUUUGUGAACAACUUUUCAAAAAAUCAGCUCAUGUCACAAGUUCUCUUUCUGCCUGCAAGAAAUUGAACUCCAAAAUAGGAUGGCACAAGUUAUGUUUCUACAUUUUCCAUUCCUUAGUAUAUCCACUACCACAAGAAAAUGUUGAAAUACUUCUGAACUAAGAUACAUCUGACAGGUUCCAAGGGCUAUAAAGCAAUGUACUAGCUUAAGGAACACACUGUUAGACACAGAGCUAUUGUUUAAAAGUGAAACAACCCACAACACACAAAAAAAGUUGUGGACAGCUACAACUUACGUAAGCUAGUAGCCAAACAAUGGGUUGUUCUCAUACAACAUUAACACUGACAUAAAUUCAUGGAUUUUAAGGGUUUCUGUCAAACAAGGAUUUUAGAACAUUUUGCUGGAAAUAAAUGCAUAGAUACAAGAGUUCAUCUAUGCGUGCAUAUAAUCAGAGCAAUGGUAUACAUACAUAUUUCCUAGUAAAAGAGAAGUAUACACUAAUGUGAAGAAAAAUAUAUUGCUCAAUAGUCUUUUGAAAGAAUUUCAUCAAAGUCCCUUUGACAUUUAAUAUCAUGGUGAUCUGUAAUCAAAUCUGGGACAAAUUUAGCACUCCCAUGUCUUCUUUAUUAAACGUAGGUGGUUUUCCUGCAUACCUUAAUAAAACAAUGGGAAUAGGACUUCCACUCUAGUUCAUGAGGGCAACUCCAGAAAUUUCUGAAACUCAUUCCUAAUUUAUUCCAUUUGCAGCUGUUUCUUUAAGGUUUCUCUUCUUUUAUCAGAAGAAACGUAGGAAUAAGGAACACUUCCAAGUAAUAAGUACACACCUAAUUUAUUACACCAGGAAAAGCAAUGUUCAGAGGCUCCAUGAAAGAAAUCUCACUCAAGUAGAUGAGUUGUUUCAUAUAAUGGCUUUGUGUUAUUGUUGUGCUUUGCUUUUUGUUUUCUGUUUUUUAUUUUUUGUCAGCUUCUCUCUUUAAUAACGGGCUUUUUUCUUCAUUGACUUCUUGCUGAACUCCUUUGUAGAUCUGUCACAUCAGAUUAGCUUGUUCAUGUUCACAAUGCCCUGUCUUCUGGAGAGUUAUGCCUGUAAGGAGAAUAAAACUCAUCCCUCAACUUCAAGCAGACAGAAAACACACCUCUGUCCAAGUUUCUCCAAGGCCCUUUUGUACAUAGAGCAGCGUGUUUCCAUAACAGAUGUUAUAAUGACAUUUCUCUCCCACUGCUUUCCAUGUGAGACGAAUGUGAAGGAGGUUCUUCAGAGGAGGUUUUUUUUUUUUUUUUUUCCAGUUAAACAAGGAGAACAGACACACUAGCACUCUAAAAUAUUUUUGAGCCACCCCUAUUGUGCAUCCAAUGGUCAGGAGCAAACUAAAUGCAUCCUGGGGCUUGAGGGUGACUUUCAGCCUGACAGAUUGAGGUCGUCUAGCACAGUUCGCCAAGUACUUGCACGUUCAGUAAAUCUCUUCAUUAGGGUACUCCUCCCUCUUUAGAUCUCCCAAGCUAGAAAAGCACAUUUGCAAAGACAAGUUGCUGCUGGUUGAAGCCCUUGGGCCAGUGAGUGGGUGGAGUGGCUGCCAUGGUUGUGUAAGGCUCUGGGCCACACAGCAAAAGCAGGGACCAAAGUCACUCACUGUGGAGCAGGGGUGAGCCUGGGGAGCAGACAGGAUGGCCAGCCAGAGGCUGCUGCCCACAGCAAGCUCUCCUUUUUGUGCUGUGGGACAGUUCAGUCAUUAUCUUCUCCCUCACCCACUCCCACCCCAUCUCUUUUUUAAUUUAACACAGAGGAUGAAAUUUUGGCUCAAUGUAAAUAGGAUUUUUACCACUGAUUUCAAUAUGGCAAGAAUUUCAUCUAAACCCUCCAUGCCUCACUGAAGACAAUAACACAAAGAACACUAUUUUGGAACGGAGAAAGGCACCGUAUUUGUGAUCUGCUUUGUUUAUUGUGUUUGGGGGCUUCAAGAUGUAGUCACCCACCCACUUCUUUAUUAAAUGUUAAUUUGGCUUUUGAAAGUUUUACAAGCUACAGUAAAACAAUAAUUAAAAGUUUGUACGCAAUUUCCAUAGCUGGUUUUCAUUCCUCAGGGAGUAUUAAUUCUGGUUUAAUUUGUUUUUCAUUUUCAUUGUGCAACUAAACACAGUUUGUUUUUAAAAGGAGGAUCAAACUGAUGCUGAAAUAUGCAUACAUGUGUUGGCAGGCACUUCUCAAGAAGGACUGCAACCUGUGAACUUGGACCUCAAACAACAAAUGUGCAGAGCUCACAUGAACUUGAAGUUGCCCUUUUUUUUGUGACAUCUAUAAACAUUUAUGAAGCUUUGUUUUUAUUCCAGUAAAUCUAUGUUGUUAUUUUGGGUCUUUUAAUAGUGUCUAUUUAUAUCGUGAAAUUAUGACAACUGCGUUGUCUUUCUGGAAAGCCACAGGUCAAGGGUCUGCUAAGCAAAUACUAACACAUGUGAGUAACUUCCCUCAUAUGAAUAAUUAGACUGAUCUUAACAGAGUGGUGUUUUUAGGAUCAAGCUCCCAAUAUUUUGACAUACUUCCUGAAAUGUUUUGUAGAUAGGAGCUGUUGACUUUCAUAUGGUGAAAAAAUAAUUUGAACGCCAAAAAGCCCCUCCAAAAGAAGGGAACAUAUUUGGGUCAUCAGGUCUUAACAAUUACAGUUUCACGUGUUAGCUUUCUUUUCCUAGGUACAAGAAGUGUUGGAAGAACAUUUACUCAGAAGAGAUCAAGUAGAAUUACUGUCAAAGGUUUGUGUAAGUUAGCAUAUAUAAUGCUUCCCCUGGUUGUAUGCAAAAACAUUUGGAGAUCUCUGUAUUUUUUUCCCCUCAUCUUCUAGGAAAAAUGAUGGAAUUAAUUACUACAACUGGGAUAUAUUAAAUUUUAUAACUUAUAUCAUGUACCUUUGCCAUGAAGAAAUAGAAAAAUGUAUACAUGGGAACAUCCCUUUAAUGAUAAGAACUACAAAAAUUCAUGCUUCCUAUGAUAAAUAUUAUUCUGUAUUUAAGGCUAUGCCUGGAUAUACUUCCUCUGUAGUGCAUGUGUUAUGAAAGUAAACAACAGUGAGACAGAAUUCUGAUCAUACAAAGUGUACAUAAACUUGAAGUUGUGUGGAAUAGGCAUCUUUCCUUAAAAAGAGAAUUUCCUCAUCAUCUACUGAGAUAUUAAAUUGAUUCUUGGAAAGGUUUUUGUGAAUACACUAAUCCAUUUUUUCCUGUCACUUGCACAGAUUCUUGAUGUGUUAGAAUGCAAUUCCAGUAAAAACUUCUCUCAGAAAAGCAUGUCAGGAACAAAUUAGCUCUUUACUCUUUAUUGAAAUAUAUUCAAGGGUUUGCCAUGUUGUCUUCUGUACCUUAUUCUCAAAAUAAAUAUUUUAUACUUAUGCUUAACUGCUGCUAGUAAAUUGCAGAAAUUUUUUGCUUAAGUUCAUUCUUGCAAUAAAGGUGGAAAAGUUUUGUAAUAGCUUGAGUGCAAAUUAAUAUCUAUGAAUGUCUGUAUCUUUUUCAUUUUUAACCUGAUAUUAAUUACUUCCUUUAUUUUACCUUGCUAAAAUAUCCUGCUUGAAAUAUUUCUUUAAGUAAAAUUCCACAAAGCUUGCAAAGAACCUGCAGUCCAGGUAGCAUACCAUUCCUGAUGGCAGAAAGAGCAUACUGUCCAUUAACGUUGAGUCCUGUGCGUGGUCUGUCCGGUGAUACACAAUGUCAUUUAAGACAUUUCAUCAUUCUCUGCUUGAGCACUCUUCUCUAAUCUGAUGAGGUACCCUGGGAAGAAACGAUGAUAGCCAAGGCAUUAAAAUGUAAUCAAGAUAUGCAAAUUCAUGUCUAAAUGUGAUUUGCUUGGAAAGAGAAAUUAAUCUAGGCAUGGCCAAAUAAACAGUGUGUAAUAUGGAUAAUUAAUCACCAAAUUAGCAGCUGUAGUCCCAUGAGAAGAUUAUGUAAAUGAAAAAGGCCCCCAUCUACGGUCCCAAUUAGACUACUUAAUACCAAACUCUAAACAAAACACAGCCCCUGGGAGCGCCAUAAAAUAAGGAAGUGAGUCAGUCUGAGUGGGUCAUUCUCCAAGUUUCACAAGCACGUUUCAUAACUACGUUAUUUUUCCUGAUUUACAGAAAGUAAUUUAUCAGUCAGAUAUAUCAGGCUCACUGAACAACUUGUAACCUUGAAAUUCCACUGAAGUUGCUUUACACAAACCUAAACUUCUGUGCAUACAACCUAAAUCAGCAGUUAAAGGAGACAGGCACUAGAGUGCAAGUCCUUAAUCCCAGGGCCCAGAGUAACAGGGAUCAAUACUGCAGGUAAAGGUGAGAGCUCCAGACAUAUGCUAGGUGCCCUCUGUGUAUUUGGAAAUUAUAUCCAGAAGUUUCAAUUACUGCUUUACACUUACAUUUCCAUAACAGAUCAGUCCUAUCUUGUUUCAGAAAAUGGUAUUUUCUCCAUAUUUCCAAGUACAAACCUUCCUGAAUUAAGUACUUUCCACUGGUUAACCAAAUUGAGGAUACCUUAUGUGAAUUAGGCUUGGGUAUGGUACAACCUGGCUCAUGACAGCAGAUAGUUUUCCCUGAGGCUGUGCAUCACACUAAGACCAUGGCCCUAUCUGGAAUACAUAAAAUAUUAUCAAGUUAAGAAACUUGACCCAUAGGUGAAGGGAUCUAUUCAGCAUUUGAUGUACAGCUUCCUUGAGACACUUCAGUAGGUCUGAUAGAUUCAGCUUAACACUGACUUGACGCAGAUGGAAAUAUGUUGACUUUUCUGAACACAAUUUUAGAUGUUUUUUGAUGAAAAAAUAAUAAUCUGACUCUUGUAUUCAUUUACAGUCAAAGCAAUUGUUCAAAUAUCAAAGUUGGCAAGGGAUUUGAAUUUCCAUCUUCUGAUGAACUUUACAUCAUUAAUUCCAUGGAAAGGAUCUUUGUGCAGUGUAGGACAGAAACUGCACAGUGCAUUCUCAGCCAAGAAAAGCAGAGCUUCGCACUUGUGAUCUCUGGUUAUCUGUUACUAUAAGCUUUUGAAGGUGGAAGAUACCCCUGAAAACACAACACUGUUGCAAACUAACUUAAGGUAGAACUGAUCUGAACAGUCACUGGGAGAGAAUACAAACUCCAUUCGUGGAAAAGAGGAGUUUCCUAUUUUUCUGAAAUGCUUGUGUUGGUCUUUCGAUGCUCUGGACUCCAAAUGACUUUCUACUUAUUCUACAUCUGUUCAGAAUAAACUGCACUCAUUUUAUUUAUUUAUUUUUUACUCCUUGUGAAGCUAUUUGUGGAUUCUUUAGGUAAGGUUUUCAAAUAACUUCUUUGUACAGCUAUGUAACACUUGUUAUAUAGCUCCUGUGCAAGGCUUCCAAAGCUGCACAGUAACAAGGUUAGUACAGAAUAUUCUACUCUUCUCACAGUUAGUUAACUGACAUACUGAGUGCAGUAGUUUCAUGUUGUGUUAUCAGUACAAUGAGGUAUAUUACUUUUGCAAACUACAGCAUGAGUUUUCUUGCUUAUGCCAAUUUUGUUUUUGGAUCUGAG